rnacentral:rRNA from 1 species
UUGACGGGACCCGCACAAGCGUGGAUGAUGUGGAUUAAUUCGAUGCAACGCGAAAAACCUUUACCUACCCUUGACAUGUCUGGAACCUUGGUGAGAGCCGAGGGUGCCUUCGGGAGCCAGAACACAGGUGCUGCAUGGCUGUCGUCAGCUCGUGUCGUGAGAUGUUGGGUUAAGUCCCGCAACGAGCGCAACCCUUGUCACUAGUUGCCAUCAUUUAGUUGGGCACUCUAGUGAGACUGCCGGUGACAAACCGGAGGAAGGUGGGGAUGACGUCAAGUCCUCAUGGCCCUUAUGGGUAGGGCUUCACACGUCAUACAAUGGUCGGUACAGAGGGUUGCCAAGCCGCGAGGUGGAGCCAAUCCCUUAAAGCCGAUCGUAGUCCGGAUCGCAGUCUGCAACUCGACUGCGUGAAGUCGGAAUCGCUAGUAAUCGCGCAUCAGCCAUGGCCGCGGUCGAAUACGUUCCGGGCCUU